AUGGAAGAAGGUAUAGUUUUUGUAUCCAUGAAUGAGUGUAGAAAUGCACUUGUGACAUACUCCAUCAAGGUAGAACGUACUUUCAAAGUUGACAAGAGCGAUCAAGUACGUUACAGAGUGCACUGUCCGACUGAGGGUUGUCCAUGGAGGUUGCUCGCAUCUAAAAUGCAAAAUAGCACUAAUGUUCAGGUCAAAGUGAACCCUUUUAAGCACACUUGCCAGGAAUCAACCCUUAGGAAGGAUACAAUCAGUAGAGCGAAGUCAAGAUGGGUGACAGAAGAAGUAAAGAACUGGGUGAAAGAAAACCAGCAAGUAGGUCCAAAGGAAUUGCAGAAGAACAUCAAAGAUAAGUUCAAGAUAGAUUUACCAUACAUGAGGUUGUUCAAUGGUAAACAACAUGCUAUGGAUUCUAUUUAUGGUAACUGGCAGGAAAGUUUUGAAUUGUUGUAU
rnacentral:rRNA from 1 species